UUAAGGCUGGUAAUGCUUUCCACAAGUAUAGAGUGAAGAGGAACUGCUGGCCUAAGGUUCGUGGUGUGGCUAUGAACCCAGUUGAGCAUCCCCACGGAGGUGGUAACCAUCAACACAUUGGUCAUGCUAGUACAGUUAGACGUGAUGCUCCACCUGGACAAAAGGUUGGUCUUAUUGCUGCAAGGAGGACUGGUAGGCUCAGAGGACAAGCUGCUGCCACUGCUGCCAAGGCCGAUAAGGCAUAAUAGGAUACUAGUUGUUUUGGCGUUUAUAUUUACAUCAAUGACUGUUAAAGCACAUUUAAGCUAGAAAUUUUGUUUGAAAUUUCAGAUAUGGUACUGUUUUGGAGUUUGGAUGACAGUUGUUUAUGUUUUCGAGUUUGGGUUUUUAUGUGAAAGUGUUUUAUGCCAGUGUUUCCAAUCAUUGUUCUAUUCGUAGCUUCCAUAAUGAUUUGGUUUACGAUUACAUAAUGUUUUCCUAAAUGGUUGGUUGUUGACGUAAUUGAAAGUUUGAACAGUUAUAUCUAAAUGAACAAUGACACACUGUUCAAACAUAUAUAAGCAACUUUCAAUUUCCUUUUUAUAGAACAUCUUCCAAAAUUUUUAAUAUGUUUAUAUACAUAUUUUUUAUGUAAGGAUAACGAUCAAAACUAUACAUUUGAUACAUAUAGAGUUUGAUUUUUUUUUUAUAAUUAUACAUAUCAAACUUUAAUUUUUUAAUUUUAGUUAACAUGUAUACAUAAGUAUUUGAUUUUAAUUCAAUUAUACAUACAAAAAAAUGAACAUAUUUUUAUAUUAAGUAAGUAUAAUUAUUUGUAUAUGUAACAUGUAAACAUAAAAUGAUGUUAGUUCAUGUGUAACAUUGCACAUCGAACCAAAGUUAAUGUGUAGUUUUGCCCCUAAUAUAUAUUACUAUAUAUUUAAUUUUAUGUGUUAUAAAUUACAAAAAUAUAUAAAAAAUAAUAUAAUAUAAUAAAUUACAAACUUAAAAUAGAUUAAGUCAAGCUCAGGCCUUGAAUUCUUGAGCCCGAGCUUGGUUCAUAUUUGAAAUAGGCUUAAUCUUAUAGUUUAAACCCAUUUUUCAUGGUCUACUUUUUUUCAAACCUUUCUAAUCUUUGGAUGGACAUUUAAGCUUAGGCGAUAGUUCAACCCUUGAAUAGAUCUGAAUUUGAGCUCAUAAAUUAAUUAAAAUAAAAUUUAUCAUAAAUUGAUAAAAAUAAAAUCAAUCAAAAAUGAAGUAAUUUAUUUAUUUAUUUAUUGAAGAAAAGAAAGAAAUACUAUUGUAAAACAUUUACGAUAUAAUAUAUAUUAACUUCUUUAAAUUUUAAAUUUAGACUUAAUUAAUUAAUUAAUUAAUUAAUUAAUUGCGUUGGAUUAUUUUACAUUUGAGUACUUAAUUUUAUUAAUUGUGCUGGGGUAUUUAUUGAAAUUAAUUAAUUAAUUAAUUAAUUGUAUUUAGUUAUUUUGUAUUUAUGUUGGUUUAUAUGCCUAAUUGGUUAUUGUGUAUUUGAAUUUUAGGUUGGGUUUAAUGUUUGAUCAGCUAGUAUAUUUAAAAUAAAAAAUCAACAUAAAAAUUACCUAAAUCGAAUAAAUUGAUAAAAUUAAAUCAAAUAAAUUGAAAUAAUUCAAUUCAUGAAAGGGAGGAUUGUUUAGGGUCAAUUUGACAUUGAUGUUACGGUUGAGAAGUGUUUUUAAAAAGCUUGGUCUGGAAAUAGUGCUUUUGGAAAGUUUCGGGGGAAAAUGUUGUGAAAAAGUGUGGCUUUAGAAACAAAUCUAGAAGAUUUAAAAGUUACUGGUUAUAAAUCAGAUGAAGAAAAUACUUCAACUGAUAAUGAUGAAAAUAUAGAUAUCCCAGAACCUAUGGAUACUGAACAAACAUAUCCUUAUGGAAAAAUAAAAAUAAAAUCAGAUCUUCAAAAAGAUGAUUACCUAAGAACUUUCAAUAAAGAAUUUGAAAAAGUAGAAAAUACAACUAGGAUUUUUUAUAAUAAAAUGAAAAUAUAGCUAAAAAUAUUGUAAAACCUGAAUAUCCAGGAGAAAUGUCUAGUCAACCUAUUCAACAAAGAAUAGAUUAUUUAAAUAAAAGAAAUGUGGCUCAAGGAGGAAUAUAUUUAGACUUAACUAAUAGUCCUAUAUCGGACUAUUAAAAAACCAUAGAUGAUUGGGCACAGUCUAUGACUACUGUAGUAAACAACAAUACAUGGUCAAAAAAAAUUUUAAACUACUUUGUAGGAACAUUUCAAGGAGAUGUUCUACAAUUUCUCAGACGAUGGGAAGAAUCUGAGAAAGGAAAAGAACAAAAAGGGCAGUUAAUCAACAGAUAUGAACUCCCAAAGAUCUUUUAAAAGAACUAAUAUUUAUCCUAAAAUUUUGUAGUUAUUUUGAUAAAAUAAGAGUAAAAGAAAAAUUAGAUAAAAAAUCUAGAAAAACUAGAUUGGAAGAAAUGCAAACUUCAACAAUUAUUAGACAAAUAAAAGUUGGAAAAAAUGAUAUAAUUACAUUCUCAAGUUUUCAAUCAAAGAAAUAUUAUACAUAUAUUGAAAUUAUAUUUCAAUUUAGAGAAUAUAAAACAUAUUUUUUACAUGCUUUAUUAGAUACAGGAGCUACAACCAGUAGUUGUAGAAAAAAUGUUAUUCCUGUAGAAAAAUGGGAACCUAUGAAACAUCCUAUAAAGGCAAUAAGGAUAGAUGGUAAUGAAACCAUAAUUCAAUAUAAAGCUAAAAAUAUACCAAUCUACAUAAAUAAUGUUAGAUUUAUAAUAUCAAAAAUUUUAUGUUUUCCUGAAAUGCAUGGAGACAUAUUAUUAGGAAAUAAUUUUAUAUAUCAACAUUUACCAUUUUAUAUUGAUAAAAAAUCAAUUAGAUUAACUAGAGAAAAAUCUGCUAUAGAAAUACCAUUAGUAGAAAACCAUAAGUUUGUGUGUGAUAAAAAUUUUACACCACCAAGAAAAGAGCAAAUUAAACACCUAGAAACAAAUUGGUUGUUUAAAAUUUUAGAGGAUAAUUUUAGUGAAGAACCAUUAAAAUUAUGGCAAAAUAGUCCUAGAUACUGUGAAAUUAAAUUGGAAAAUCCCAAUAAAAUUAUUAGAGUUAAACCUAUGAUCUAUACUAAACAAGAUAUAGAUGAAUUUGAUAUUUAAAUUAAUGAAUUAUUAGAAAAAAGUUUAAUAGAAAAAACUAACAGUCCGCAUUCUAAUCCAACUUUUAUGGUAAGAAACCAUGCUGAAAUAAAAAGAGGAAAACCUAGAAUGGUUAUUAAUUAUAAAAGAAUAAAUCGAAAUAUUAUUUUUGAUGAAUAUUUUAUUCCAAGAAAGGAUGUUUUAAUAAAUCAAGCUAAACAAGCGAAAUAUUUUAGUAAAUUUGAUUUUAAAUCGGGAUUUUGGCAAAUAAUGCUAACCGAAGAAUCAAAACCUUUAACAGCUUUUAGUGUUCCUAAUGGACAUUAUCAAUGGAGAGUAAUGCCAUUUGGGUUAUGUAAUGCACCACAAAUCUUCCAAAGAUGGAUGGAUUUUAUAUUUAAUAAAUAUAAAAUUUUUUGUGUAGUUUAUAUAGAUGAUAUUUUAAUUUUCUCUGAUACAUUAGAGAAACAUAGAAAACAUUUAAAUAUUAUAUCUCAAGAAUUCAUACAACAUGGAAUUAUUUUAAGCCCUAAAAAGAUAGAGCUAGAAAAAACAGAAAUAGAAUUUUUAGGAUUAAGACUAUCUGUAAAUGGUCUUCAACUACAAGAUCAUAUUAUAAUAAAAAUAAAAGAAUUUCUUGAAAAUAUUGAAGACAAAAAACAACUUCAACAAUUUUUAGGAAUUAUUAACUACGGAAGAAAUUUCUUUCCUAACUUAGCUGAAAAAAUAGGUAAGUUAUAUGAUAAAUUAAAAAAGGAAAAACCUUUCAUCUGGUCUAAAAAAGACUCAGAAAUUAUAAAAAAAAUCUAAAAUCUGAGAUAAAUAAAAUUCCAAAAGUAUAAUUACCUAAACAAGGAGAUAAAUUAAUUUUAGAAACAGACGCAUCACAAAAUUAUUGGGGAUGUGUUUUAAUAGCUAAAACAGUCAAUAAUGACGAAUUAAUAUGUGGUUAUAGUUCUGAAAAAUUUAAACCAAAUGAAAUUAAUUAUAUUAUAUACGAAAAAGAAUUAUUAGCAAUAAAAAAGGGAAUACAAAAUUACGAUAUACAUUUAGCACCUGAAAAUUUUAUUAUAAAAACUGAUAAUCAAGCGAUCAAACAAUUCCUUACUAAUAAAAAUUUAGAAACUGUACCUAGAAGAAUUAGUGGUAUAAUGAAUUAUGUACUUUUAAUUUUGAAGUUUUAUAUGUAAAAAGUACUGAUAACAUUAUUGCUGAUUAUCUUAGCAAGCCUUAUGGAUAGAGGUAAAAAACUCUAAUAAAAGAAACAGUUGGAGAAUAGACGACUGUUCAUAAAAAGCCCAACAAAGGGAAAAUAACAACAAAUUCCAAAUAAGGAUUUGUAUCUGUACAAGUACCAUUUUAUCCUAAUCAAGAAUAUUAUGUGUCUUAUCCAAUGGUAAAUCAACCUAUUGAAACUUCUUUAUCAUUGACACCAAAAGUGGUAAGUCAAUCACAAUGGUCCCAAGAUCUAAAUUCGGCAUUUCAAGCCAGUUAUGCUGAUAUGAUUGAGGGAGCAGAGAAUUUGUUGAAACAAUAACUGUAGUAGGCCCAAUUUGCCCAUGCCCAAGACAAAUAAAAAAGGAGUCCAAAAUACAAGCCCAAUAAAACAAUCCAAUUUUUUUACAAACCAAACCCAAAACAAACUCAAUCCAAAUAAACCCAAAACAAACCCAAUUUAAUUACAAAACCUAAAACCUAAACAGAAACCCUAACCCUAGCCUGCCACGUCCAAUUCUGCCACUUCCGUUAGCGCCGCACCAACUUUGUCGCCACUGCCCGCUUGCCUGCAAUAGAAGUGACAAAUAGAUUAAAAAAAUAAGUUGUAAAUGGCUAUAUAAGCCAUGAAGAAAAAAUAUUGUAGCCCUCGGUUUUUUUUAAUACAAAAAAAAGAUUCAAGCAAAAAAAGAGAAAGAAACAUUGAAAACUAGUCUUUUUUUAACAGAGGUAUAUGUCCAUUUUUUUCGCAUGUUUAUUUUGAAUAUCGCAUACAUAUAUAUAUAUUCAAAAAUAGAAAAAAAAAUUUACCUUUCUUGCGAUCGGAGAAGACAGAACCGAAGGGUUCUCUUUUUUUUUUAGAAUUUUAGGGGUUUUAGGGCAUUUCAACCCCAAAUCGAGGUUCUACUCAAAAAAAGAGCAAAAAAAGAAUUUUUGUGUUUUUUGGCCACCGCGGACAGCGGCGGUGCCGUCGCCGGUGACCGGUGGCUGGUGCAACGGCGACUAGCCGGACCAACGACCGGAGCUAAGCUGGAGAGUGAGUGCUGAGAGAAAGUUGAGAGAGAGUUUUAAGUUUUUUUUAGAACAAGGGAUAAAUGAUUUUUUGUUCCAAAAAAUACUAAUAUAGGCCCUCAAAACGAUGUCGUUUUGAGGUUGGCCUUAAACGCCCAAAAUGGCAUCGUUUGGCCUCUGAUUCGUGCGUUAACCUGACCCGUCUGGGAGGAUCCGCGUGUUUUUGAUUGAUGGGUUAUUUGCACUUUUGGCCCUUCCGCUUUUCUAUUUGUUUACAAUUAAAUUUCUUUCAUUUUUUAAUUUUGCUCUAUAAUUUAUUUCAGCUCUCAAUUCGGUCCACCUUGAAGCUAUGCAUUUUGGAGGGUGGGGAUUAUUUCCCAUUUGGUCCCUCCUUGUUAUUCGCGCGUUCAACUUGGUCCUUAGCCUUUUUAUUUAUUUUUGAUUUGCCCCAAAUUUCUAUUUUAAAGUUCAAUUUAGUCAUUUUUGUUAUCUUUGCUAUUUUAUUAUUAAAUUAAUUAAUGUAAUAUUAUUAUUAUUACUAUUAUUAUUUUCCUUAUAUAUAUUUUGUUUUUUUUAUAUUUUUAUAUUUUUACUAUUUUUAUUUCCAUUUAAAUACAUAGUUAUUAUUUCUUGGUGCUUUAGUAUUUAAAAUUGUCUUCAUUUUUUAUUAUAUUUUAUUAUAUUUUUUAUUUUCAUUUCAUUUCAUUUUUAUAUUAUUAUUAUUUAUUAUUAUUAUUAUCAUCAUUAUUAAACUGUUUUAAUUAUUAUUUAUUUAUUCAUUUAUGUGUCCAUUAUUAUUUUUUAAAAUUUUUUAAUUUUUAUUUGUUUAUUUACUUAUUAUUAUAUAUAUAAUUCGUUUGUCUUUUUUUUAACUUAUUUUUGUUUUUUCUCGUAUUAUUUUUAUUUACAUUAUCGUAUUUAUUAUUCCGUUAUGCAUAUUAACACCGUACUUUAUUUCUACCAAUUCGUGUUACAUUAAUCAUUACUCAAUACAUAAAUUUUUUAAAUAAACGAUAUGUCGUAUUUUGAGAUUCGAAAAGUCGUUCCCCUAACUUACGGGUUUUCAAUUUUCUCGAUAAAUCCGAAUACACGAAUCCUUUUUAAACAUAAAUUUUUUUAACAAUCUCGGGAAUUAAUAAAAGAUCGUGUUCUAACUUACAGGACAUGAUUCCUUUUCUAAAACUGAGAUAAUUGAAUAUUUUCAAAAUAAGUAAAUUUUUCGGCAUUUUUUCUCGUAUCGGGGUUUAAGACAUUGUGUCCUAACUUACGGGACGUAAUUUUCUUUCUCGAUUAACGUGAAAUAUGCUCCUUUCUCGAAAAUUUUUAAUAUUUUAACAAAGGAUCAUAUUUUAAAUCUUUUCAAAGUUUUUAAUUUUCGACACUAAGACAUUAGUUAAUCAACUAGGUACCAAUUUUUUGGCGUUACGAGGGUGCUAAUCCUUCCUCGUACGUAACUGACUCCCGAACCCAUCUUUCUGAAUUUCGUGGACCAAAAUCGUUAUUUUAAUAAAUCAAGUCGUUUAUUCAAAAACAACUAUUACGAGGUGACCCAAUCACACCUCAUAAAAAUGAUCAGUGGCGACUCCCAUAUUCGUUUUCAUUUUCAAAAUUAAAGUCGACCCUGUUUUCAAAAAAAUGGUUUCGACAUAUUGAUGACUCUAUUGGGGAUCCAAAAUAAGAGAGUCAAGCCAUAAGUUGAUUAUUUUUUGUCUUUUUGUCGAAAAUUGAAAACUUGGUUUAAAUGUACGAUUCUUUCGUUGCAUUUCAUCCGUCUUUGUUACGACCUUUUCUCAUCAUUGUGGUUUAUAAUUGUUGUGUUGGUUUAAGUUUUGGUAUCUUUCUGCACAUUGCAUCUCAUGAUCGGUCGAUCUUACCCUUUUAAGUGAGAGUGAGAAACUACUCAUUCGUGAGGUUUUCACCUUCGCAUGGGAUAGUGAAUCGCUUUCGGGAUACAUCCGUACCUAUGUCUUCGUAAGAUUUUCAUCUCUGCAUGGCCAUAGAGAAAUGUAUUCCCUGAACUGAACUCGGUCCAUAUGAGCCUAUAAUGGGUGAGGAUCGAGGAAUCUGCCGGUUCGAGUACCUUUACUUUAAAACCGAACCCCAUAUAGCGAGCCUUAAGAGCCCACCCUAGGUAGAUCCACUCCAAACCCCUAAUGGUCAUCCAAAUAGGUGCUCUGUUUAUCAUUUUUUUUGUACUGAUGUGUUUCUUUUGUUUUGGUUUUGAUUGUAUUGCAUUUUCAUAGAAAAUAGGUGUUGGUUCACGUUCAGUUGCUAAAUAGAGAGCUUGUCAUGAAAAAUGGAUUUCAUGAUAAAGUGGAAGACAAUGCGGUCGUUCGAAUAUGGUCUGAGAAAACGUAACGAGGAAAGGGUGAUAGUCUGAUGAAUGAGUACACGACUUUGCUUCGUUGCCCGAAGAUUCAAGUCGAUAAAGCUUAUUCGAAAGUCGUCAACAUCCCAGCUUUCUUAAAGAAGCUAACAAGUAUCACGAGGAUGAGUGAGCAAUGGGUCACAACCUGGAUCGAGAAAAAAGAAGCUAGUAGAGGCAUCCAUUGGAAAUUUCGAUAGAUUUGAUCUUAACAUCCGGAUAUGAAGAAAGGGAUCGAUGUCUUCGUCUAGAGUGUGAGGGCAAGGCCAUAUAUGUAAAUAUCUGUUUUAUGUAAAGAGAUUUUUUUUCUAUUAAAUUUGUUCUAAUAGAAUUGAAUCAGAAUCAACACAUCUUUUUGCAUUCAUUCCAUUCAUUUGCAUUACAUUUCAUUGCAUACAAUAAAUUUCCUAAAAUCCAAAAGUGUGUCAAGUUCAGAACUCUAGUACAGAGCCUGUUGGAUGAUAAAUAAUUGGAAUUCUUUGAAGAUAUCAAUGGUUAGAAAGGGAAAGAUGUUUGUGCCUUUGAAGAAGGAACUAAAACAACAACAACAACAACAAUAACAAAAACAAAAAAAACCUAUCAAGAAUUUGUUCCUACAUCCCUAGAGGCGUUCUGAACAGCCGGACUGUGAAGAAGAUUCUUGUAGUUUUUAGGACCAUUUCAGAGUAAUAUUCAGAACACUCUUAUUGCUCUAAGCCUGGGAGCAAUAGAAAUCCUUUUGUAAAACAGAUACAUGUCCACUUUUUUUUUAUUUCAACGAAAUGCAUCUUUGUGUCUCGUUUUGGCAAACUUUCUUUUAUUCAUUCACUUCUUUCAUAUUCAUACCAUGUAAAUAAUUGUUCUUAGAUUCAUUUAUUCUUUGGAUAUUCUUUCGUGCCUACAACAGGUCUCUAGAUAUCAACGACAUGAGCGACGCUGUUACUGACCCAAAAUCUUCUUUUGAACGAGACAUCUGUCUGGAGGGGUCUCAGGAAUUUGAAGAUGACCGAGACUAUAGCUUAUCUCCUGAUUUGUUAAGGAUAGUAGAGCAAGAUGAGAAACAGAUCCUAUCUCACAAAGAAUCAAUAGAAUCUAUGGGUUUUCUCUAUGUGGGGCAUGGAUGUCACUGGGCCGAUCUCGCCAAAAGCUUCUGACGUUCGUCAAUUCAUCUUUAUGGUCGUCGAUUACUUCACUAAGUGGGUGCAAGCUGCUUUAUAUGCCAAUGUCACAAAGUCAACAGUCAGCAAAUUCUUGAAAAAAAGAAAUCAUAUGUCAGUAUGGAAUGCCAAAAAGGAUCAUAUCUGUCAAUGCAUUAAUUUGAACACCAUAUCGCCCCAAAAUGAACGGUGCAAUUAAAAAAAAACUCUACCAGGGUAACUCAUUUCUCAUUAGUUUAUGGAAUGGAGGUAGUUUUACCUAUCGAAGUUGAAAUUCUUUCCCUUCGAGUCUUGUCAGAGCUGAAGUUGGAUGAAGUAGAAUGGAUCUAAGCCCGAUAUAAUCAGUUAAAUUUGAUUGACGAGAAAAGGUUGAAAGCUAUCCGUCAUGAUCAAAUGUACCAAAAGUGAAUGAUGCAAGCAUACAACAAAAAGGUUUUCCUGAGAGAAUUCCAUGAGGGGGACUUGGUAUUGAAGAAGAUCCUUCCCAUACAAAAAGAUUUCAGAGGAAAAUAGAUGUCAAAUUGGGAAGGACGUCAUAUGGUAAAGAAGGAAUUUUUCGGAGGAGCAUUGAUAUUAACUGAGAUGGAUGGUAAGAGCCUGCCUAAUCUAGUAAACUCAGACUUAGUCAAGAAAUACUUCUCUUCAAAAAAUAAAAAAUAAAAAGAGAGAAAAAAAGAAAAAAAAGGGAGAGGCCAAGGCGAAAACCCGCAAAGGGCGCCUUGAGACCAAAGGGGUUUUGAAUUGAAAAACCAGAAAAGGGCAAUUCAAAUUUUGAUCGAAUGUGGGGCAUGCAGUAGUCUUGCUAUGCCUGAAUUAACAAGGAGGGGGAUGCUACGUCUUGGGGCAUCAGCAAAUUACUUUAGACCUCUUAAACACAUGUUGAGCUCAAAAUGAUCCUCAAGAAGUUCGUACAGAGAAGCUCGGGCUGCGAUAUCUGAGGCACCUUUUUUUCCUCUCACCUAUUUUGUAUUCCAACAAUGUUUGCUUUCUUUGAUUAAUUUAUUGUUUUCAAAUUUUGUUCUUGAUAAAUUUCAGCUUUGUCAAUCAUUAUGAUCUUUUCAAGCAUUUUGCAUUGAAAUAACGAUUAUUAGACCAAUAAUACUUUCAUAAAAGGAGUUCUGCAUAUUACUCUAGAAGCUUCUAAAUAGUAUAAGAACCUGAAACAUGACUAUUAUUUAGAACUAACCAAACCGAAGGGUUGGAAAUAUUUGAGAAAGAAGAGUCUAAAUAGUGACUAUUUCUUCGGGUUCCCUGUCAAAGAUACCGGCUGAACAAGAGGGCAGGGUAAUGCGUCAGUGAUAGAACCUUGAUGAAUAAAGAGCAAUGACAACCUAAGCAUUAAAAAGGGAUUAUUCUAAAAAAAUGACAAUCUGCAUUCAUGCAAAUAUCAUUCAUACACAUCUAGUUAGGAGUAUUUGAUUCAUUCUUAUCAUGACAUCCUAACCACUAGGCAUAAAUAGGUCCAUGAAAUGGAUUCUACAGGUCAUGUUCCCUAGAGAAUAGAUCAAUGAAGUUACCCAUACCCUUGAAGUUACAAUGGGAUGGAUUGAAAUCAUUAUAGCGAAUCUUAUCUUUCUGAAGUUGUAGUGGAGCAGAUUGAAGCCACCAACCUUAUCUCCCUGAAGUUGCAGCGGAGUAGACUGAAGAGAGCGAAUCUUAUUUCCCUAACGUUGUAGUGGAACAGAUUAAAGCUAUAAAUUAUGGCAGAUCUUAUCUUCUUGAAGUUGUAGUGGAGCAGAUUGAAGCCACUAGCCUUAUCACCCUAAAGUUGCAGCGAAACAGACUAAAGACAGCGAUCUUAUUUCCCUAGUGUUGCAGUGGAAGAGAUUAAAGCUACAAAUUAUGGGGGAUCUUAUUUUCCUAAAGUUGCAAUGAAGCAGAUUGAAGCCACCAGCCUUAUCUCCCUAAAGUUGCAGCAGAGCAGACUAAAGACAUCGAAUCUUAUUUCCCUGGUUUUGCAGUGGAACAGAUUAAAGCUACAAAUUAUGGCGGAUCUUAUCUUCCUGAAGUUGCAGUGGAGUAGAUUGAAGCCACCAGCCUUAUUUCCCUAAAGUUGCAGCGGAGCAGAUUAAAGACAGCGAAUCUUAUUUCCCUGGUGUUGCAGUGGAACAGAUUAAAGCUACAAAUUAUGGCGGAUCUUAUCUUCUUGAAGUUACAGUGGAGCAUAUUGAAGCCACCAGCCUUAUCUCCCUAAAGUUGCAGCGGAGCAGACUGAAGACAGCGAAUCUUAUUUCCCUAGCGUUACAGUGGAACAGAUUAAAUCACAAAUUAUGGCGGAUCUUAUCUUCCUGAAGUUGCAGUGGAGCAUAUUGAAGUCACCAACCUUAUCUCCCUGAAGUUAUAGCGGAGCAGACUGAAGACAGCGAAUCUUAUUUCCCUAAAGUUGCAGUGGAAUAGAUUAAAGCUAUAAGUUACGGAUCUUAUCUCUCUGAAGUUGCAGUAGAGCAGAUCAUAUCAAACAUUAUCUCCCCGAAGUUGCAGUGGCGCAGAUUGAAGUUAUAAGUCUUAUCUCCCUUAAGUUGCAGUGGAGCAGACUAAAACCACAAAUCUCAUUCCCCUGAAGUUGCAGCAGAGUAGAUUAAAGCUACAAGUUGUAUCUCUCUGAAGUUGCGGUGGAGUGGAUCGAAGCAACAAGAUGCAAUGGACUGGAAUGAAGCUACUUUAAGAAGAUGAGCACCAAUAAGUCAAGAUGCGGCGAGAUCGGACAAAAUUAGUCCUUCUUAAAAGUCUUUGCUCCAUGCUCGUUACACGACAACGAGCAAAGAGGGGGCAGCUGUAUUAGGCCCAAUUUGCCUAGGCCCUAGACAAAUAAAAAAUGAGAACAAAAUACAGGCCCAAUAAAAUAGUCCAGUUUUUUUACAAACCAAACCCAAAACAAACUCAAUCCAAAUAAACCCAAAACAAACCUAAUUCAAUUAAAAAACCUAAAAACUAAAUAGAAACCCUAACCCUAGCCUGCCACUACCAACUCUGCCACCUCCGUCAACGCCGUACCAACUUUGUCGCCACCGCCUACUUGCCUGCAACAGAAGUGACAAAUAGAUUAAAAAAAUAAGUUGUAAAUGGCUAUAUAAGUCAUGAAGAAAAAAUAUUAUAGCCCUCAGUUUUUUUUAAUACAAAAAAGAAGAUUCAAGCAAAAAAGGAGAAAGAAAUAUUUAAAAAUAGUCUUUUUUUUACAGAGGUAUAUGUCUAUUUUUUUCGCAUGUUUAUUUUGAAUAUAGCAUACAUAUAUAUAUUCAAAAACAUAAAAAAUUUUUACCUUUCUUGUGAUCGGAGAAGAGAGAACUGAAAGAUUCUUUUUUUGGAAUUUUAGGGGUUUUUUAGGGCAUUUUAACCCCAAAUCGGGGUUCUACUCGAAAAAAGAGCAAAAAAAGGGGUUUUUUGUGUUUUUUGGCCACCGCAGACAGCGGCGCCGUCGCCGAUGACUAGUGGCCGACGCGGCGGCCACUAGCCGGACCAACGACCGAAGCUAAGCCGGAGAGUGAGGGCUGAGAGAGAGUUGAGAGAAAGUUUUAAGUUUUUUUUAGAACAAGGGAUAAAUGAUUUUUUGUUUCAAAAAAAUACUUAUAGAAGCCCUCAAAACAACGUCGUUUUGAGGUUGGCCUUAAACACCCAAAACGGCGUCGUUUGGCCUCUCAUCCGCGCGUUGACCCAACCCGUCUACAAGGAUCAGCGUAUUUUUAAUUGAUGGGUUAUUUGCGCUUUUGGCCCUUCUGCUUUUUUCUUUGUUUACAAUUAAAUUUCUUUCAUUUUUUAAUUUUUCCCUAUAAUUUAUUUCUGCUCUCAAUUCGGUCCACCUUGAAGCUGUGCAUUUUGGAGGGUGGGAAUUAUUUCCAAUUUGGUCCCUCCUUGUUAUUCGCGCAUUCAACUUGGUCCUUUGCAUUUUUAUUUGUUUCUGAUUUGCCCCAAAUUUAUGUUUUAAAGUUCAAUUUAGUCCUUUUUGUUAUUUUUGCUAUUUUAUUAUUAAAUUAAUUAAUGUAAUAUUAUUAUUACUAUUAUUAUUUUCCUUAUAUAUAUUUUUAUAUUUUUACUAUUUUUAUUUAUCCAUUUAAAUACAUAGUUAUUAUUUCUUGGUACUUUAGUAUUUAAAAUUGUCUUCAUUUUUUUAUCAUAUUUUUUAUAUUUUUUAUUUUCAUUUCAUUUAUAUAUUUUUAUAUAUUUAUUAUUAUUAUCAUUAUUAAACUGUUUUACUUAAUAUUUCUUUAUUUAUUCAUUUAUGUGUCCAUUAUUAUUUUUUAAAAUGUUUUAAUUUUUAAUUUUUAAUUACUUAUUAUUAUAUAUAUAAUUGGUUUGUCUUUUUUUUAACUUAUUUUUGUUUUUGCUCGUAUUAUUUUUAUUUACUUUAUCGUAUUUAUUAUUCCGUUAUGCAUAUUAACACCGUACUUUAUUUCUACCAAUUCGUGUUACAUUAAUCAUUACUCAAUACAUAAUUUUUUUAAAUAAAUGAUAUGUCGUAUUUUGAGAUUCGAAAAGUCGUUCCAUAACUUAUGGGUUUUCAAUUUUCUCGAUAAAUCCGAAUACACGAAUCCUUUUUAAACAUAAGUUUUUUUUAACAAUCUCGGGAAUUAAUAAAAGAUCGUGUUCUAACUUACGAGACAUUAUUCCUUUUCUAAAACUGAGAUAAUUGAAUAAUUUCAAAAUAAGCAAAUUUUUCGACAUUUAUUCUCGUAUCGUGGUUUAAGACAUUGCGUCCUAACUUACGAGACGUAAUUUUCGUUCUCGAUUAACGUGAAAUAGGCUUAUUUCUCGAAAAUUUUUAAUAUUUUAACAAAGGAUCAUAUUUUAAAUCUCUUCAAAGUUUUUAAUUUUCGACACUAAGACAUUAAUAAAUCAUUAAUAAAUCAACUAGGUACCAAUUUUUGGGCGUUACGAGGGGGCAAAUCCUUCCUCGUACAUCACCGACUCCCGAACCCAUCUUUCUGAAUUUCAUGGACCAAAAUCAUUGUUUUAAUAAAUCAUGUCGUUUGUUCAAAAAUAACUGUUACGAGGUGACCCGAUCACACCUCAUAAAAAUGUUCGGUGGCGACUCCCAUGUUCAUUUUUGUUUUUAAAAUGAAAGUCGACCUCCUUUUACAAAAAAAUGGUUUCGACAACAAGAAAUUUAAGAAAUAAAAGAUUUUUAUAAUCCUGGUUUAUUACCAGAUUUAUAUAAGUUGAUUAAUGAAAUAUGGAAAACCCAUGUUUUUGACCAAAGAGCAAAUUUCAAAAGAGCUCUUAGUAAGCUUUCAUUAUUUUUAGUUGAAAAAACAACUAAAGAAAAUAAAGCUGAAGAUUUACUAUUAAAAUCUAUUUUAUAUAGGGAUUGGGAUGAAUUCCAAAUAUAUUUUAUGGAAAUUUAGGAGAUAAACAAUCUUCUUGAUAUAUUUCAAUAUUUUAUUGAAAAAAGGAAAAAUAGUCCCAUUAUGAAUAAAGUAUUUAGAAUAUGCUUAUAUAAUAAAGCUAGAAAUAUUUUACCUAUAGAAAUAUUUAACAAAAUAAAUGGAGACAUUUGCAAACAACAAGCUCUAUUUAAAAAAUAUUUUCAGAAUAUUUUUACAAGCUUAUAUUUUUGCUAAUGAUGGAGGAGAAGAGAUUCCUACUAUCAAAUUUAGAUUAGAUCAUGAACCGUUCGAUAUAACUAAUAUUGAAUGGGGUUUUAUAAAAGAAAUAAUAGUACAAAACUUUUCUUUUCAUCUUUUAAAAGAUUUCCUUGCAGUAGUUAAAACGACAUUAUCAAACAUCAUACACAAUGAUGACGUUUUCUACUAUUUUAUAUACAAAUAUACAGUCUUCUUGGUAUUGCUGAAAAAGAAAAUUUUUAUCAGCCUUAUCAAAUAUGGAUUAUUCAGAAGAUAAUUGGAAGCCCUCAGUUAUUUGCUGUCAAAGAAAAUAAAGAACACUUGGCAACAACAAUUGACAGAUGUCAUAAUGAUUUAGAUUAUUAUCAAACCCAAGCUGGGAUUGAUUGAAUAGCUAAAGCCAAAUAUCUUCUUCAAUAAAAAGAUUAUAAACUCUGGACCGAUGGCAGAAGAAUAUUGGCAUAUCAUUCUUUGGCAUAUCAUUCUGAAGAAAGAGAUAAAGAAUCCAUACGACUAUUAAAAAAGAUAGCCGACAUAGAAAUUGAAGAUUUUCCAUCUCACAUUCUGGAAAAAAAUCAAAAGCACAUGGGAGAAUUGGAAUUCACCAAGACUUUCAUUUGAUUCAUUAAAUUUGGAUGAAAUUUAAGAAAUGAAUAUAGGCAACAUCCAAAAAAGAUAAAACCAAAAAAAAGAUGAUACCAAGAAAGGAAGCAACUCAAGAAAAAGGGCAUCCAUUAGCAAACAAAAAGUUUGGAAACAUAAAAUCUAUGAUGUGAAAACCACAAACAAACAAAAAGUUUGUAAGAUAGACACAACAAAUCAACUAUGAUGCAAUUAAUGAUGGAAGCAACCAUUAAUGAUGUCAGAUAACAAUCAAUUCAACCAUGCAACGUGGAAGCAACCAGGUGCAUGCAAUUAAAGAAGUACAACGUGGAAGUAACCACAUCCACAAAAAGACAGGAUCCUUAUUAGGAACAAUGUGUGGGAUUCAAAAAACAAUUGUAUAGAAUUAAGAAAUUCAACUAUAAAUAGAGGAAGGAAAUCAAUUGUAUACGCAUCGAUCUUUUAUAGUAUUUUUUUCUUUUUUAGCUUUUCUUUGUAAAACUUUCCUUUACUUUACUCUUGUAAUAUCCUUAUAAGUCUUCUGCAUAAACCCUCGCACUCUACCUUCCCCCAGAAAUUGGUAUCAGAGGUGCCGGUGUAAUGAUUUCUUGGAGAAAUAAUAUCAUAGUAUUCAUUGUAAGUCUUUAUCUGUAACAUCCCGAAAUAGGGCCUAAACAAAAUAGUGGUUGCGAAACCACAAAUAUGAAAUAGAAAAGUUUAUUACGAUGAAUUAUCAUGAUUUACUGAUUGAUCGGAUGCAUGUAUUAGAGUAACGAUAAGAAUUUUAUAGAUUGCAUGUUUAAUUUGUCUAUUAGGGCUUAUUUGCAAAAGUUGCAAAAUAUGUGUUCUAGUUCAUUAAGUACUUAACUGAAAUGGGGGUCUAAAUAGAUGUCCUGAAAUAGAUAUUAGAUCAUUAAAGUUUGAUGGACAAAAAUAGACAUGGUUAGUAAGUAAGGUAUUUAAGGGCAUUUUGGUAAAAUGCCUUAAUUAAUGAAUAAAGACAAAAUAACAUGAAGUUAUCAAGGGAACAUAAAGACAAAAUAACAUAAAGACAAAAUAAAAUGCCUUAAUCCAUGGCCGAAUUUAUCAAGGGAACACCAUGGCUAUGGUUUUUUCAUCUUCCAAGCUUCAUAGUAAGUCCGUUCUAGCCCCGUUUUUCAUGUUCUUUACAUUUUUAGAAUCUCGGUAACUCGCUUAAGCUAAUUCUACCAUUAAUUAAAGCUAGGAUUUAUAUUUGGAAAAUUACCCAUAGAUGAAAAGUGUGUAUUUUGAUGUUUCAUGAUAGAAUAUGAAGAUUAGAAUUAUGUUAAACGAUUUUUGCUAAGCUAUUUUCAGUGAAAACGAGUGAAACGGCAUAAUCGGUAAAAUUUAUUAUUGUUAAUAAGUGCAUGUUAGAGCAAGAAUUUGUUUUUGCCAUAGAAGGGAAAAAUGUUCAUCAUGUAAUAAAACAUAAUAAAAAGGAAUAAAGUUUAAUUUCUGAUCCCAGGGGAAAAAUCGUAAUUAUGCAAAAGUUUAGGGGCAAAAAUAUAAAUUUUGUCAAAAUAUGUUUUAGGUCCGAAAUGAUUAGUAAAUUGAUUAAAUAAGUGAAAUAUGAUGUUUUAGAUCCCGAAAAAUGUGAUUUGGACCUAGAACGGGAGAAAAGCUGAAAAUCGGGAAAGUUGAUCAAAUGGCCGUUUUGGUAUCAAGGUAAGUUCAUGUGUUUAAUAUGCAUUUAAUUAAGUAUGUUUGAAUGCUAAAUUGAUAUAUUAGUUAUAAAUUCUUUAGUAUUGAUUUUUGAAUAUAAUGAUAAUAGUUGAGAAAUGUUCGAUAAUGAUUCGACAUUAAAAAUGAGAAUUCGAAUAAGUUUACAUAUAAGACCAUAGUUGUAAUAUGGCUUUGUAUAAGAUCAAGAAAGUAUUGAAUAGCAUAAUUUGAGGAGAGUAAGAUAAAUUGAGGAUAUGAUGAGAUUGAGAAUGUAAGUAUGUAAGUUGAGUAGCAUUUUAUUAUUAUGCAAUUGUUGCUAUUAUUAUUAUUGAGUUAUGUGACUGGCCUUGAGAAUUUGAGCAAGUAUGUUUCAACUAUGAGUUGUCAAGGCAUUGAUAUCUCAAGGUCCAUGUUUAUAACAUGGCAAUUAAGGAAGAAUUGGCAGAAAAGUCUAUGUUUAUAACAUGGAAAUUAAGAAAGAAUUGACGGAAAAUACCAUGGUUGGACCAUGGCAGUAAGUGUGCCAAUGUAAGACCAUGUCUGGGACAUGGCAUCGGCACAGACAGAGAAGAGUCAAUGUAAGACUAUGUCUGGGACAUGGCAUCGGCACUGAUAUGUGAUCCCAUGUAAGACCAUAUCUGGGAUAUGGCAUUGGCGUCCUACCAGGUGUACGAAAUAUCCCGAACAUCCCUAAUAUUACAAGGAGUUCAACGGGAAAUUCAAGGAGUAUGCUCAAGAUAAGUAAGAGUAGGAUAUGUGUGUAUUAUGACUAGGCACAGGUAUGUACAUAAGGCUUAAUAAUAUUGAGGUUAUAAGUUGAUGAUAUUAAAAGUAUUUUAAUGGGUAUAUUCAAGUAUUAAGUAAGUGAUAAGUUUUUAGUUAUACUUAUGACGCUUUGUGACAUGAUUGGCAAUAUGUCUAUAUUAUGAAAGAGUAUUAAUGUGUUAAAUGAGAUGUUGCAGGUACGUAAGCAAGCUAUUAAGUAAGGUGCUUUAUUUUUUUUUAUUCUGAGCUUUUGGUAAGGUUACCGAUGAAAAAGAUGGGAAAGUAUGAACUUAGCAUUAUUUAUGCAAAUUAUGAAAGCUUAGUAAUAACCUAAAUUCAUUACUAAUUAUUGUUAUUUUACAUGUGAACUUACUAAGCUUUAUAAGCUUACCUCUUUCCUUUCCUUUGUUCCAGAGUCUUAUCAAACAAGCUCGGGUUGGAGGUCAUGGAAGAUCGCUUCACACUAUCAACUAUCAAGUUACCAAUUGGGUAUUUUCAUUGACACACUUUUUAAGUUAUGGCAUGUAUAGGGACUUAGUCAUUUUGUGUGUAUGUCUUUAUGAAAUGGCUAAUUAGGAGUAUGUUUGAUGUUAUGUAUGCCUAAAUGAUAGUUAAUGCAAAGAAAUAAUAAAAGAGUAAAAAUUUGCAAUGGUACAGUUUUUGGAUAGCAGCAAUGACGUGAUUUUUAAAAAUCACAAAAAUUAGUAGAAAUGGAAUUAGAGAGUGAAUGAGAUAUAGAAUUAAAUCUUAUUGAGUCUAAUUUCAUAUGAAAGAAACAGUGUAGGCAAAGAAAUUUUAUAUUAUGAGAUAUUUAAAUUUUAGUGUGACAGGGCCAGAAUGGUUUCUGAAGUCCCCUGUUCUGAAUUUAGAAAAUCAUUCAAAAUUUGUACAGAAAUAAUUAUGAGUUAGAAUUUAUAUGCUUAGAAUCCUUAAUGAGUCUAUUUUCAAAGGAAAGAAUGGAAAUAUCAUCUGAAUUCUGUACAAUGAGAUAAUUCAUUUUUAGUGAAGAGUGGUCGGAACUGUCAGACAGCAAAAUAGGGGAGAUUUUAACUAAUAAACUGUACUAAUUGGCCAACCCAAAAAUUCUUAAAAUUUUAUGAUAAUAAGAUAUAUGAGUCUAGUUUUAGGGAAAAUUUACGGAUUUAAAUUUUGAGUUUUUUAACCCGAGUUAUAAUUAAUUUACUGACUGCUGCGCAGUUAGACAGUUUUAUUGUGGACAGUGAAAUAAAUUAUUUUAAUUUGUUUAAGUAUUUGGAAAAUUUUUAAUGUUCCCGGUUUGGACCCGAACCAUUUUCAUUGCAUGUUUUAGGGUCUUGAAGAUCCUUUUUAGGGACAUAUUGAUUGAACGCGAGCGAAUUGAUUUUAAAAGCAAAUUUUUAUGCUCCGAAUUAGUAAGUUAAGUUAGGUAACGCUUCGUGCUCGAUUCCGGCAACGGUCUUGGGUAAGGGCUGUUACAUUAUCUUUGAUUUACAAUUCUGUUUAUUUCAUGUUUAUUUGUCUCAAAACCCAUAUAUUUGUUAUUCUGUCUUUUUGUUGCCGUUGAGUCCAGGGAGGACGUGUAGGCCUUUGAGAGAAGACAUUAUAGAUAACAGACGGUUUUAGGUACCUAAGAUAAAUAAUAUAGAGGAAAUCGACUGUUUAUAUAAAGAUAAACCUUGUAAUCAUACUAUGCAUAUAGACUCUAAGAAUGAAAAUAACAUUUCAUCUUUGAGUAAGUGUUUUAAUAGUUUAGUAGAUAUAACUUCUAUAAAUUUUCAUAAAUUAUAUAAUAAGGUUAGUAAUAUAGAACAAAAAGUAAAUAUUUUAGGAGAAGUAAAAAAUUUAGAUUUGAAUAGCGAAUCUAAAGAAAUAUUAUCUAGUGUUAAUAAUAACUUUGAAAAAGUUAUCAAUAAUAAUAUAAAUCAAGAAGUAUAUUUAGUUCCUUUAUAUUAUGGUAAUAGUAACAUAAUAUUAACUUUAUCUGAAGAAGAGGAAACUUCAUCAGAUGAAUCGCCAUCUAAUCCUAAAAAACAUAAAAAUCAUAAAAAAUACAAAACAACAAAAAUAUGAUUUCCAAUCCUAUAAAGAACUUAUAGAACAUUGGAAAUAUAAAUUUACUAAUAGUAAAGAUAAAUUAGAAAGAGUAGAAUAUUUAAAACUUAUUGAACAACUUUAUGAAGAACAUAAAGAUUUGUUUACUUUGUUUAAUUAUCAUUAUAUGAUGAACUAUGACACUACAGACAAUAGUAGUUCUAGUAAUUCUGAGUUAACUUUAGAAACAAAUCUAGAAGAUUUAAAAGUUACUGGUUAUAAAUCAGAUGAAGAAAACACUUUAAUUGAUGAGGAUAAAAAUAUAGAUAUCCCAAAACCUAUGGAUACUGAGCAAACAGAUCCUUAUGGAAAAAGAAAAAUAGAACCAGAUCUUCAAAAAGAUGAUUAUCUGAGAUAUUUUAAUAAAGAUUUUGAAAAAGUUGAAAAUACAACUAGGAUUUUUGGUAAUAAAAUCGAAAAUAUAGCUACAAAUGAUGUAAAACUUGAAUAUCCAGGAGAAAUAUCAAGUCAACCUGUUCAACCAAGAAUAAAUGAUUUAAAUAAAAGAAAUGUGGCUCAAGGAGGAAUAUAUUUAGACUUAACUUCCUAUAUCAGACUAUGAAAAAACCAUAGAUGAUUGGGCACAGUCUAUGACUAUUGUAGUAAACAAUAACACAUGGUCAAAAAAAUUUUUUUAACUACUUUGUAGGAACAUUUCAAGGAGAUGUUCUACAAUUUCUCAGACGAUGGGAAGAAUUUGAGAAAGGAAAAGAACAAAAAGGGCAGUUAAUCAACCAUAUAGGAACUCCCAAAGACCUUUUAAAAGGAUUAACCCUUAUUCUAAAAACAGUAUUUUGUGGUUAUACUAAUAAAAAAGAUUAGGAUAGUAUAUCUAAUUAUACUUUAUCAAAAAUUAAGUUAUGUGAUAUUAGAUAUUUAGAAGAUUUUUCUAAAAAUUUCUUCAUGAAUACCAAAAACUAAAAAUUGAAAAUAUAGAAUUUUGGAAAAGCCAAUAUUUUCAUAAAUUACCACCUCUGUGGGAUGAGAUAUGUAUAAAAAAGUAUGUAUCUUAUUUAGAGAAACAUAGUGAUAUGUUUGGUAUACCAUCAGAUAGUAUAGAUACUAUAGGAAAUAGGAUAAACUUUGCAAAAGAAAGAAUAACUUUACAUUGUUUGCAAAGUAAAACUGCUAAACAAGUUAAGCAUAAACUAAGUACUAAUUAUUGUACUAAAAUUCUAGAAAAUGAAUGAGAAUUUGGGUGUAAACAAAUACUUCCUAAUAAUUAUAAGAAAAAUAAAAAAUAUAAAUUAGCUAGAUGGAAACCAGGAAAUAAAAAAUAUACUGGUAAAAACAAAAAGUUUGUUAGAAGAAAAAAUUCUAAUUCUAAAAAACAAAUAUGUAAAUGUUUUAUAUGUGAUGAAGAAGGCCACAUAGCAACAAAUUAUCCUAACAAAGGAAAAAAUGCUAGAAAAAUAAUUAAAAGUCUUGAAGAACAAAAUUUAGAAAUAUACUAUGAAAAGAAAAUAAAUCCUGAAGAAAUAUUAUAUUAAUUAAUAUCAUAAACAAAUUCUGAUAUUGAUGAAGAAUAUAUAUUUAUGUUAGGAACUAGUACUAAUAAUUAAUUAGAAGAAAUUCCUAAUUCUUAACAAUAGGAUAUAAAAUUGGGAAAUUUAAUUGGAGAAGAAAAAGCCUUUCUGAUAAAAUGAUAGAAAAAAUUAAUAAAAAUUAUAUCUCUAAAGAAGAAGUACAUAAAAUAUCUAAGUUUAAAAUAUGGAGUCAAAGACACAUAGAAAAAAUAAGCAGAAAUACCGUUGCUAAAGAUACUAGAGGAGGAUUAACAGAAAUCCCGUUAUUUACUAAAGAUAAAAUCAAGAAGAUUAAAAAGGAAUAUCCUCAGGUUACAUAUAUCCAUUUAGGGAUAAUAAUGAUAACUAUUAGAGCUCUAUUUAGGAAGGGUCAUGAUAUUCCUAUAAUAAUUGUUCUUUUAAAUAAAAGAUUUGAAAAUCCAAUAAAGGCACUUAUUGGAGGAAUUUAGUCUAAUUUACAUACAUGAGUAAUAGGAUUUAAGGUUAAACCAAAUUACUUUAUAUCCAUUACAAAUCCUCUAAUAGAAGAGUGUUUAUGCCUUAGAAUUCACACAAAAAAAUUUGAUAUUAAUGAUUUAGCAGAAGAUCUAGCAAUAAGUUGGACUUCUAUUAAUGAAUAUACAAAUACAGCUGAGGUAGAAAUAAAAGAGAUUAAUAACAAAAUUAUUGAACUUUUUGAACCUAAUAAAUUUACUACCGAGAUACAGCCAAAACUAUUACAUUUAAGAUAUCUAUCAAUACCAAAAGACUCGAUGAUAGAAAAAAUUAAUAGUGCAAGUACUUCUAAACCAGUAAGUACUAUAGAAUAUAUGUCAUCUGGAAAUAGAUUAUAUUUUAAAAAUAAUACUAUAACAAAUACAGAUGAAAAUUUAAUGUUACCUUCAAAUAAUCCAAUAGAGGAAGAUGAGGAUAAUAUUAGUAAUAAUUCUACACCAAUAGGAGUAAAAACAGUACAUAUUCCUAUUUUCCCUACAAAACCAAGUAAAAAAUCUAGAAAUACGAGAAUGGAAGAAAUUCAAACUUCAACAAUCGUUAAACAAAUGAAUGUUGGAAUAUAUAUUGAAAUUACAUUUUAAUUUAGAGAAUAUAAAAAAUAUUCUUCACAUGCUUUAUUAGAUACUGGAGCUACAAUUUGUAGUUGUAGAAAAAAUGCUAUUCCGAUAAAAAAAUUGGGAAUUAAUGAAGCAUCCUAUAAAAAUAGUAGGAAUAGAUGGUAAUAAAACCAUAAUUAAUUAUAAAGCUAAAAAUAUACCAAUCUACAUAAAUAAUGUUAGAUUUGUAAUACCAAAAAUUCUAUGUUUCCCUAAAAUGCAAGGAGACAUAUUAUUGGGUAAUAACUUUAUAUGUCAAUAUUUAUCAUUUACUAUUGAUAAAAAAUAAAUUAGAUUAACUAUAAAAAAAUCUUCUAUAGAAAUACCAUUAGUAGAUAAUAAUAAAAUUGUGUGUAAUAAAACUUUUACACCAUUAAAAGAAUAAAUUAUGUACUUUUAUGUUAUUAUAUAAAGUACUUAUGGAUAGAGGUAAAAAAAACCUCUAAUAAAAGAAACAGUUGGAGAAUGGACAACUGUUCAUAAAAAGCCCAACAAAGGGAAAAUAACAACAAAUUCCAAACAAAGAUCUGUACCUGCACAAGUACCAUUUUAUCCUAAUUAAGGAUAUUAUGUGCCUUAUCCAAUGGUAAAUCAACCUAUUGGAACUUCUUUAUCAUUGACACCAAAAAUGGUAAGCCAAUCACAAUGGUCCCAAGAUCCAAAUGUGGCAUUUCAAGCCAGCUAUGCUAAAAUGAUUAAGGGAAUAGAGAAUUUGUUGAAACAACAACAAACAACAAAUUCAAGAGAUAAAAGGUUUUUAUAAUCCUGGUUUAUUACCAGAUUUAUAUAAGUUUAUUAAUGAAAUAUGGAAAACCCAUGUUUCUGACCAAAGAGCAAAUUUCAGAAGAACUCUUAGUAAGCUUUCAUUAUUUUUAGUUGAAAAAACAACUAAUGAAAAUAAAGCUGAAGAUUUACUAUUAAAAUCUAUUUUAUAUAGGGGUUGGGAUGAAUUCCAAAUAUAUUUUAUGGAAAUUAAGGAGAUAAACAAUCUUCUUGAUAUAUUUCAAUAUUUUACUAAUAAAGGGAAAUAUAGUCCCAUUAUGAAUAAAGUAUUUAGAAUAUGCUUAUAUCAUAAAGCUAGAAAUAUUUUACCUAUAGAAAUAUUUAACAAAAUAAAUGGAGACCUUUGCAAACAACAAGCUUUAUUUAAAAAAUAUUUUUAGAAUAUUUUCUACAAGCUUAUAUUUUUACUAAUGAUAUAGGAGAAGAGAUUCCUACUAUCAAAUUUAGAUUAGAUCAUGAACCGUUCGAUAUAACUAGUAUUGAAUGGGGUUUUAUAAAAGAAAUAAUAGUACAAAGCUUUUCUUUUCAUCUUUUAAAAGAUUUUCCUGCAGUCGUUAAAACGGCAUUAUCAUGAUGACUUUUUCUACUAUUUUUAUAUACAAAUAUGCAGUCUUAUUGGUAUUGCUAAAAAAGAAAAAUUUUAUUAGUCUUAUCAAAUAUGGAUUAUUCAGAAGAUAAUUGCAAGCCCUCAGUUAUCUACUGUCAAAGAAAAUAAAGAACACUUGGAAAUAACAAUUGACAGAUGUCACAAUGAUUUAGAUUAUUAUCAAACCCAAGCUGGGAUUGAUUUAAUAGCUAAAGCCAAAUAUCUUCUUCAGCAAAAAGAUUAUAAACUCUGGACCGAUGGCAGAAGAAUAUUGGCAUAUCAUUCUUUGGCAUAUCAUUCUGAAGAAAGUGAUGAAGAAUCCGUAUGAAUAUUAAAAAAGAUAGCCAACAUAGAAAUUGAAGAUUUUCCAUCUCACAUUCUAGAAAAAAUCAGAAGCACAUGGGAGAAUUGGAAUUCACCAAGAUUUCAUUUGAUUCAUUAAAUUUGGAUGAAAUUGAAGAAAUGAAUCUAGACAACAUCCAAGAAAGAUAAAACAAAAAAAAAAGAUGAUACCAAGAAAGGAAGCAACUCAAGAAAAAGGGCAUCCACUAGCAAACAAAAAGUUUGGCAAUAUAAAAUCUAUGAUGUGACAACCACAAACAAACAAAAAAGUUUGUAAGAUGGACACAACAAAUCAACUAUGACGCAAUCAAUGAUGGAAGCAACCAUUAAUGAUGUCAGAUUACAAUCAAUUCAACCAUGCAACAUGGAAGCAACCAGGUGCAUGCAAUUAAAGAAGUACAACGUGGAAGUAACCACGUCCACAAAAAGACAUGAUCCUUAUUAGGAACACUGUGUGGGAUUCAAAAAACAAUUGUAUAGAAUUAAGAAAUUCAACUAUAAAUAUAGGAAGGAAAUCAAUUGUAUAGGCAUCGAUCUUUUAUAGUAUCUUUUCCCUUUUUAGCUUUUCUUUGUAAAACUUUCCUUUACUUUACUUUUGUAAUAUCCUUAUAAGUCUUCCGCAUAAACCCUCACACUCAACCUUCCCCCAGAAAUUUAAGAAUUAAUUCCCAUACUUUAAGUAAAUCUUUUUAGUAGAAGAAAGAAAUGACAAUUUGGGCACUAAUAACCAAUGACAAAUUAAAGCUUUGACUCUAGUUGAACCUUGUUUCAUCACCUUAGCACCUUACUUAGCAGGAAAAAUAGCUUUGUGGAUGAGUGGAUAUAAAAAGGCUUACAACCAUUUAAUAUAGUUUGGUUGAUGUGGGAUGUAACCAAGUUUUUGCUUCAUGAAUUUAAGUUGGAUUUUCUCUAUGUUGUAUGCUUCAUAAAACAUGCUAAAUAUUGCAGAUCCAUCCACUCUAGGAACCACGAGACUCGAAGUUUACAAUCAAGUCCCUUGGCUCAACUCUCAACUUGGAACGGGCAAACCAGUGUUAAAACAGCUCGAGAUCCAACUCAAGCAAAGCCAAACCCGCAUUCCAUCACCUUAAAACCCCCUACUCAGGUUACAAGCUCAAGUUACCAAGCUCGGCGACCAAUAAGGAGAGAAAGGGCUAUAUCUACAAUUAGUCCCUUUUGAUUUUGGUCGAUGUGGUAUUCUCUUUCUUUCGAGGAUGCUUUUACUUGUUGAGGUGAUGAGUUUGUGAACUUAAUGGAAAAGUUUAAAAUGAAGAUUUGGAGAAAAACUAGGCAAUAGGUUUUACAUAAUUUGUGAAAAAAUUCAUCCUGAGUUAAACAUAAUUCUAAUUUGAGACGUUGAUUUCAAUAUAUAACAUUGUCAUUUUCCCCCAUCCAAUUCAGAUCUUAAUAUCAAUGUCUUUUUAUUUUAUUACUAUAAUUUUAUAUUCCGCCACCCAAAUAAAUUAAAGUAAUGUAUCAUACCGAACAUUUCAUCCCAUAAUAUUACAUUCUCAUAACCUCAUUACAUAAUCUUAGAUUUUUUGAACCAACUGUUAUUGGUAAUAUCACAUUACCAAAAUCACGUUGUUUGCUGGAUUGGGCCAUGUUAUUCACGAAGCCUGUUUUCUCUAAGUAUUUAUGUUGUGGAUGUCUUAUAGUUUUGGACUUCUUCUAGUUGGUUUUAGGGUUACAAUAAAAUCCAGCAGAUUUAAAUAAUAAAAAAAGAAUUGCACUUCAUAUGCCCAUCUGGCCCAACCCAAAUUUUUUGUUUCUUUCCCAAAAUCAGAAGCCCAAAACUUAAAACCCAACAACAAAAAACCCUAUAAAUCAUCAUUUAUACAUCAUCACGCAAACCCUAACCCUCAACCUCCAUUUUGCCCAUUUCACUGCUCUCCCCUAGAUCGUCUCCAAGAGAGAGCUCUCCUUACAGCUACCGUACACAUUCACACACACAUUCACUGAAUGGGUCGAGUCAUCCGAGCUCAACGUAAGGGUGCUGGUUCCGUCUUCAAGGCCCACACCCACCACCGCAAGGGUCCUGCUCGUUUCCGCAGCCUCGACUUCGGUGAACGAAAUGGCUACCUCAAGGGUGUUGUCACCGAUGUCAUCCACGACCCUGGCCGUGGCGCUCCUUUGGCCCGUGUCGUCUUCCGUCACCCUUUCCGUUACAAGAAGCAGAAGGAGCUUUUCGUUGCCGCCGAGGGUAUGUACACUGGACAGUUCGUCUAUUGUGGUAAGAAGGCUACUCUUGUGGUCGGAAAUGUAUUGCCUCUUAGAUCUAUCCCUGAAGGAGCUGUCGUUUGCAACGUCGAGCAUCAUGUCGGUGAUCGUGGGGUUUUCGCUAGGGCUUCUGGUGAUUACGCUAUUGUUAUUAGUCACAACCCUGAUAACGACACCACCAGGUCACUGAUUCUUGCUAUGUUUUAACUUCAAUUUUGAUUUGGAUAUGAUUGAUGCCUGAUUGUUAUUUGGAUCUGUUAUCAUUAUUGUCGUAUAUUAUUUUAGUUAUUGCUUAUCCUAUGUAUAUAAUUUGCAAUAAUUAUAUGUGCUCAUAUAUAGGCCUACCUCGUGAGAAAUAAAGAAAAUUACAUAUUGGAUGUGAAGGACUCGAAGUAUGAAUUGAUGUAAUGUAAAAAGGAAUAACAUCUCUUAGGUAGACUAUACCUUCUACUGAGGUUUUAGUUGGAUGGGUUGACUUAGAUUACUAUUUUCGUUCUUAGAUGUGAAAUAUCAUUUUCUUCACAGGUUCAAGGGGAUGGUAACAUGGUUGGGGAAGUGUGGAUUAAUUAGUUGUUUUGGUAGUGAGACUUUUGGUUUGUAAUUUUACAGGAUCAAGCUUCCAUCUGGUUCGAAGAAGAUUGUUCCAAGUGGUUGUCGUGCCAUGAUUGGGCAGGUUGCUGGAGGUGGUAGGACUGAGAAACCUCUGCUUAAGGCUGGUAAUGCUUUCCACAAGUAUAGAGUGAAGAGGAACUGCUGGCCUAAGGUUCGUGGUGUGGCUAUGAACCCAGUUGAGCAUCCCCACGGAGGUGGUAACCAUCAACACAUUGGUCAUGCUAGUACAGUUAGACGUGAUGCUCCACCUGGACAAAAGGUUGGUCUUAUUGCUGCAAGGAGGACUGGUAGGCUCAGAGGACAAGCUGCUGCCACUGCUGCCAAGGCCGAUAAGGCAUAAUAGGAUACUAGUUGUUUUGGCGUUUAUAUUUACAUCAAUGACUGUUAAAGCACAUUUAAGCUAGAAAUUUUGUUUGAAAUUUCAGAUAUGGUACUGUUUUGGAGUUUGGAUGACAGUUGUUUAUGUUUUCGAGUUUGGGUUUUUAUGUGAAAGUGUUUUAUGCCAGUGUUUCCAAUCAUUGUUCUAUUCGUAGCUUCCAUAAUGAUUUGGUUU
rnacentral:lncRNA from 1 species